rnacentral:rRNA from 1 species
UACGGAGGGUGCAAACGUUGCUCGGAAUCAUUGGGCGUAAAGCGCACGUAGGCGGUCCCGUAAGUCGGGAGUGAAAGCCCUCGGCUUAACCGAGGAAGUGCUUUCGAAACUGCGGGACUUGAAUACCGGAGAGGGUCGCGGAAUUCCCGGUGUAGAGGUGAAAUUCGUAGAUAUCGGGAGGAACACCAGUGGCGAAGGCGGCGACCUGGACGGAUAUUGACGCUGAGGUGCGAAAGCGUGGGGAGCAAACAGG